rnacentral:tRNA from 1 species
GGCGAGAUGGCCGAGCGGUCUAAGGCGCCAGACUAAGGUUGGUCUACAUAAGCACAUAUCUGGUCCGAAAGGGCGUGGGUUCGAAUCCCACUCUCGUCA